UGCCAGCCGCCGCGGUAAUACGGAGGGGGUUAGCGUUGUUCGGAAUUACUGGGCGUAAAGCGCACGUAGGCGGAUUGGAAAGUUGGGGGUGAAAUCCCGGGGCUCAACCCUGGAACUGCACUCGAAACUGCUUCGCUCGAGUCCUGGAGAGGGUGGUGGAAUUCCCAGUGUAGAGGUGAAAUUCGUAGAUAUUGGGAGGAACACCGGUGGCGAAGGCGACCACCUGGACAGUGACUGACGCUGAGACGCGAAAGCGUGGGGAGCAAACAGGAUUAGAUA
rnacentral:rRNA from 1 species